rnacentral:rRNA from 1 species
AGAGUUUGAUCCUGGCUCAGGACGAACGCUGGCGGCGUGCUUAACACAUGCAAGUCGAGCGAUGAAGCUUCCUUCGGGAAGUGGAUUAGCGGCGGACGGGUGAGUAACACGUGGGUAACCUACCUCAAAGUGGGGGAUAGCCUUCCGAAAGGAAGAUUAAUACCGCAUAAUAUGAGAGAAUCGCAUGAUUUUCUUAUCAAAGAUUUAUCGCUUUGAGAUGGACCCGCGGCGCAUUAGCUAGUUGGUAAGGUAACGGCUUACCAAGGCAACGAUGCGUAGCCGACCUGAGAGGGUGAUCGGCCACAUUGGAACUGAGACACGGUCCAGACUCCUACGGGAGGCAGCAGUGGGGAAUAUUGCGCAAUGGGGGAAACCCUGACGCAGCAACGCCGCGUGGGUGAUGAAGGUCUUCGGAUUGUAAAGCUCUGUUUUCUGGGACGAUAAUGACGGUACCAGAGGAGGAAGCCACGGCUAACUACGUGCCAGCAGCCGCGGUAAUACGUAGGUGGCGAGCGUUGUCCGGAUUUACUGGGCGUAAAGGGUGCGUAGGCGGAUGUUUAAGUGGGAUGUGAAAUCCCCGGGCUUAACCUGGGGGCUGCAUUCCAAACUGGAUAUCUAGAGUGCAGGAGAGGAAAGCGGAAUUCCUAGUGUAGCGGUGAAAUGCGUAGAGAUUAGGAAGAACACCAGUGGCGAAGGCGGCUUUCUGGACUGUAACUGACGCUGAGGCACGAAAGCGUGGGUAGCAAACAGGAUUAGAUACCCUGGUAGUCCACGCCGUAAACGAUGGAUACUAGGUGUAGGGGGUAUCAACUCCCCCUGUGCCGCAGUUAACACAAUAAGUAUCCCGCCUGGGGAGUACGGUCGCAAGAUUAAAACUCAAAGGAAUUGACGGGGGCCCGCACAAGCAGCGGAGCAUGUGGUUUAAUUCGAAGCAACGCGAAGAACCUUACCUGGACUUGACAUCCCUUGCAUAGCCUAGAGAUAGGUGAAGCCCUUCGGGGCAAGGAGACAGGUGGUGCAUGGUUGUCGUCAGCUCGUGUCGUGAGAUGUUAGGUUAAGUCCUGCAACGAGCGCAACCCUUGUUAUUAGUUGCUACCAUUAAGUUGAGCACUCUAAUGAGACUGCCUGGGUAACCAGGAGGAAGGUGGGGAUGACGUCAAAUCAUCAUGCCCCUUAUGUCCAGGGCUACACACGUGCUACAAUGGUAGGUACAAUAAGACGCAAGACCGUGAGGUGGAGCAAAACUUAUAAAACCUAUCUCAGUUCGGAUUGUAGGCUGCAACUCGCCUACAUGAAGCUGGAGUUGCUAGUAAUCGCGAAUCAGAAUGUCGCGGUGAAUACGUUCCCGGGCCUUGUACACACCGCCCGUCACACCAUGAGAGCUGGUAACACCCGAAGUCCGUGAGGUAACCGUAAGGAGCCAGCGGCCGAAGGUGGGAUUAGUGAUUGGGGUGAAGUCGUAACAAGGUAGCCGUAGGAGAACCUGCGGCUGGAUCACCU